rfam:Populus trichocarpa isolate Nisqually-1 chromosome 19, whole genome shotgun sequence.
UAAUUUAUCAGAGACAUAUUUUUAUCUAAUUAUGACAGACCCAUAUAUGACUACUCUGAAUCACCCAUUAGCACUACUGCAUGAACAAUAAUAUUUUUCACAUUUUAAUUGAAG